AUAUUGCACAAUGGGCGAAAGCCUGAUGCAGCGACGCCGCGUGAGGGAAGACGGUCUUCGGAUUGUAAACCUCUGUCUUUGGGGAAGAAAAUGACGGUACCCAAAGAGGAAGCUCCGGCUAACUACGUGCCAGCAGCCGCGGUAAUACGUAGGGAGCAAGCGUUGUCCGGAAUUACUGGGUGUAAAGGGAGCGUAGGCGGGAUGGCAAGUAGAAUGUUAAAUCCAUCGGCUCAACCGGUGGCUGCGUUCUAAACUGCCGUUCUUGAGUGAAGUAGAGGCAGGCGGAAUUCCUAGUGUAGCGGUGAAAUGCGUAGAUAUUAGGAGGAAAACCAGUGGCGAAGGCGGCCUGCUGGGCUUUAACUGACGCUGAGGCUCGAAAGCGUGGGGAGCAAACAGG
rnacentral:rRNA from 1 species